CAAUAACAAAACAGCGGAGACUGCGACACACGGAAGGUGUUCUGACGAUCUGUCCUACCCGCUCAGGAUGUGCUACUGCUGGAGAACCAUACCGUGCAGCAAUAGGUUAGCAGACUCUCUAUGGCUGAACGGUAGAAGUUGGUCAGCAGGUUUUGAGUGUGCUGGGCGUACUUCAACUUCUUGAGGAAGUAAAGUUCCUGUUGUGCCUUCCUCACCUGCUGGAAGACGUGCGUAGACCAGGAUACAGCUGAGAUGACGAUGUGAUUCAACAAGGCUGACGAUAUAGUUGAAUGUACUACUGCAAACAUUUAAUAUUCAGCUGUACUCAACACUUGCUGAAUUCAGAUGCAGUGUUUCUCUCCUCCAGUUGGUGGCGCCACGACUCUAAGCCUAAAACUGCAGUUUAAAAUAAUCAGCAGCACUUCAUGAGCUUUUUCUUGAUCUUACUCUAAUUAUCUCAACAUUACCGAUUUUUAACAAAUAUAUCAUUUCAAAACGCAUUUCUUAUUUACAGUAACUCCAAACGGUGAACAUCUUCAAAACAAAUUCAACCAAGAGAAAAGAA